CCUACGGGAGGCAGCAGUAAGGAAUAUUGGUCAAUGGAGGCAACUCUGAACCAGCCAUGCCGCGUGCAGGAUGACGGCCCUAUGGGUUGUAAACUGCUUUUAUACAAGAGAAAACCCUGGUACGUGUACCAGGUUGAUAGUAUUGUAAGAAUAAGCAUCGGCUAACUUCGUGCCAGCAGCCGCGGUAAGACGAAGGAUGCAAGCGUUAUCCGGAUUCAUUGGGUUUAAAGGGUGCGUAGGCGGACUGAUAAGUCAGUGGUGAAAUCUCUUUGCUUAACAAAGAAACUGCCAUUGAUACUGUCGGUCUAGAGUAUAGAUGACGUUGGCGGAAUAUGACAUGUAGUGGUGAAAUACUUAGAUAUGUCAUAGAACACCGAUUGCGAAGGCAGCUAACGAAACUAUAACUGACGCUGAGGCACGAAAGUGCGGGGAUCAAACAGGAUUAGAUACCCUGGUAGUCCGCACCGUAAACGAUGAUUACUCGUUGUUGGCGAUAUGACAGUCAGCGACCAAGCGAAAGCGAUAAGAAUCCACCUGGGGAGUACGCCGGCGAACGGUGAAACUUAAAGGAAUUGACGG
rnacentral:rRNA from 1 species